GACGAACGCUGGCGGCGUGCUUAACACAUGCAAGUCGAACGGUAAGGCCCUUCGGGGUACACGAGUGGCGAACGGGUGAGUAACACGUGGGUGAUCUGCCCUGCACUUCGGGAUAAGCCUGGGAAACUGGGUCUAAUACCGGAUAGGACCACUGCCUGCAUGGGUGGUGGUGGAAAGCUUUUGCGGUGUGGGAUGGGCCCGCGGCCUAUCAGCUUGUUGGUGGGGUGCUGGCCUACCAAGGCGACGACGGGUAGCCGGCCUGAGAGGGUGACCGGCCACACUGGGACUGAGAUACGGCCCAGACUCCUACGGGAGGCAGCAGUGGGGAAUAUUGCACAAUGGGCGCAAGCCUGAUGCAGCGACGCCGGGUGAGGGAUGACGGCCUUCGGGUUGUAAACCUCUUUCAGCACCGACGAAGCGCAAGUGACGGUAGGUGCAGAAGAAGGACCGGCCAACUACGUGCCAGCCGCCGCCGUAA
rnacentral:rRNA from 1 species